rnacentral:tRNA from 1 species
CGUCAGGUAGCUCAGUGGUCUAGAGCAGUCGCUCGGCAAGCGAAACACCCGGAUUCGAUUCCCGCUCUAGCGA